UACAGAGGGUGCGAGCGUUGUUCGGAAUUACUGGGCGUAAAGCGCGCGCAGGCGGCUUUUUAAGUCCGACGGUGAAAUGCCGGGGCUCAACCCCGUGCCCGCCGCGGAUACUGGGAGGCUGGAGACGAGUAGAGGCAAGCGGAAUUCCGGGUGUAGCGGUGGAAUGCGUAGAGAUCCGGAAGAACACCGGAGGCGAAGGCGGCUUGCUGGGCUCGGUCUGACGCUGAGGCGCGAAAGCGUGGGGAGCGAACAGG
rnacentral:rRNA from 1 species